GGAUGUGAGGGCGAUCUGGCUGCGACAUCUGUCACCCCAUUGAUCGCCAGGGUUGAUUCGGCUGAUCUGGCUGGCUAGGCGGGUGUCCCCUUCCUCCCUCACCGCUCCAUGUGCGUCCCUCCCGAAGCUGCGCGCUCGGCGGCCUUCCCCGAAUAGAGACGGACCGUCUUCUGUCGAGGGUAUACAAGUAGCUGCGCUCCCCUGCUAGAACCUCCAAACAAGCUCUCAAGAAAGAAGAAAAGUGAGAGAGAGAGAGAGAAAGAGAGA
rnacentral:snRNA from 1 species